rnacentral:piRNA from 2 species
UGUUCACUUUCCCUGAAGAUUCUGGA